rnacentral:rRNA from 1 species
AUACGGAGGGUCCAAGCGUUAUCCGGAAUCAUUGGGUUUAAAGGGUCCGCAGGCGGUCAAUUAAGUCAGAGGUGAAAGCCCAUCGCUCAACGAUGGAACUGCCUUUGAUACUGGUUGACUUGAGUUAUACGGAAGUAGAUAGAAUAAGUAGUGUAGCGGUGAAAUGCAUAGAUAUUACUUAGAAUACCGAUUGCGAAGGCAGUCUACUACGUAUAUACUGACGCUGAGGGACGAAAGCGUGGGGAGCGAACAGGGUUAGAAACCCUAGUAGUCC